rnacentral:rRNA from 1 species
ACGAUCUUUAGGGGGCCUGAGAGGGUGAUCCCCCCACACUGGUACUGAGACACGGACCAGAUUCCUACGGGAGGCAGCAGUGAGGAAUAUUGGACAAUGGGUGAGAGCCUGAUCCAGCCAUNCCGCGUGAAGGACGACGGCCCUAUGGGUUGUAAACUUCUUUUGUAUAGGGAUAAACCUACUCUCGUGAGGGUAGCUGAAGGUACUAUACGAAUAAGCACCGGCAUACUCCGUGCCAGCAGCCGCGGUAAUACGGAGGGUGCAAGCGUUAUCCGGAUCAUUUGGGUCAUAAGGGUCCGUAGGCGGAUCUGUAAGUCAGUGGUGAAAUCCAUCAGCUUAACUGUGAAACUGCCAUUGAUACUGCAGGUCUUGAGUGUUGUUGAAGUAGCUGGAAUAAGUAGUGUAGCGGUGAAAUGCAUAGAUAUUACCAUGAACACCAAUUGCGAAGGCAGGUUACUAAGCAACAACUGACGCUGAUGGACGAAAGCGUGGGGAGCGAACAGGAUUAGAUACCCUGGUAGUCCACGCCGUAAACGAUGCAUACUCGUUUUUGGGGCGUAAGCUUCAGAGACUAAGCGAAAGUGAUAAGUUAGCCACCUGGGGAGUACGAACGCAAGUUUGAAACUCAAAGGAAUUGACGGGGGCCCGCACAAGCGGUGGAUUAUGUGGUUUAAUUCGAUGAUACGCGAGGAACCCAUCCAAGGCUUAAAUGGGAAAUGACAGGCCAUGAAAUAGGCUUUUCUUCGGACAUUUUUCAAGGUGCUGCAUGGUUGUCGCAUGCUCGUGCCGUGAGGUGUUAGGUUAAGUCCUGCAACGAGCGCAACCCCUGUCACUAGUUGCCACAUCAUAGUUGGGGACUCUAGUGAGACUGCCAUCGCAAGUAGAGAGGAAGGUGGGGAUGACGUCAAAUCAUCACGGCCCUUACGCCUUGGGCCACACACGUAAUACAAUGGCCGGUACAGAGGGCAGCUACACAGCGAUGUGAUGCAAAUCUCGAAAGCCGGUCUCAGUUCGGAUUGGAGUCUGCAACUCGACUCUAUGAAGCUGGAAUCGCUAGUAAUCGCGCACAUGCCAUGGCGCGGUGAAUACGUUCCCGGGCCUUGUACACACCGCCCGUCAAGCCA